AUUGAACGCUGGCGGCAUGCCUUACACAUGCAAGUCGAACGGCAGCACGGGGGCAACCCUGGUGGCGAGUGGCGAACGGGUGAGUAAUACAUCGGAACGUGUCCUGUAGUGGGGGAUAGCCCGGCGAAAGCCGGAUUAAUACCGCAUACGAUCUACGGAGGAAAGCAGGGGCUCUUCGGACCUCGCGCUGCUGGGGCGGCCGAUGGCAGAUUAGCUAGUUGGUGGGGUAAAGGCCUACCAAGGCGACGAGCGGUAGCUGGUCUGCGAGGACGACCAGCCACACUGGGACUGAGACACGGCCCAGAGUCCGACGGGAGGCAGCAGUGGGGAAUUUUGGACAAUGGGGGCAACCCUGAUCCAGCAAUGCCGCGUGUGGGAAGAAGGCCUUCGGGUUGUAAAGCACUUUUGUCCGGAAAGAAAACUUCGUCCCUAAUAUGGAUGGAGGAUGACGGUACCGGAAGAAUAAGCACCGGCUAACUACGUGCCAGCCGCCGCAGUAAGAC
rnacentral:rRNA from 1 species